GGUACCAAGGAAGAAAAAUGGUAUUUGCCUUGCCUUCCCGGCGCCAGAACCUUCGGUAUAAGAAGGCAUCUCGUGGAGGCAUCCAGUAGUCACUCGUGGAAAUCCUGGCGGCUGGGAACUGCUCCGAGGGCAGGAUCUGGAAACAGCCCAGAUCAGAGCCUCUGCCUCAGAAAAAACUGUUUCCGAUGCGGGCAGCCCGGGCGCUGAACAAUGCCCAUGACUGGCAUCCUAAUGUCCCCCCGUGGGGCCUUGUCCCCAGUGUGGGGUUGGUCACUAGAGACGAGACAGAAUGCCCUGAGCUCUGAAGGGAGCGCGGGACUUCUGGAGUCCAUGCUGGCCUUUGAAGUUGAGGACUGAUGGGGUCCGAGACGCCAACGGCUCCCCUUGGACAUCUGACAAUCUCACUGGACAAGCCUCAGGAUGAAAGCCAGUUAUCUCUGGAGCUAGAGCCCAAAUGUACCAGGCACUGCACCGCCAGCACGACUCUCCUUAACAGAUAUUUGAGGAGACUCAAAAGAGAGAGUGACACGGUUUCUGUUCCGUGAGAAAUCUCGUUAUUUCUGUGAGUACCUAACCAAAUGCUGUCCUGCUUCCCUAAACUGCCCGCGAUGCCUCGGGAAGGGUUGAAUCACGACCUCCCUGUGAGCGACGGAACCUAGUGGCUGCAUACCGUGAUCGGCCCAAGCCAGUCCGACCAGACGCUCCCGCCGUGAGCAGCUGUGCCCAGCAACUGGAGCCCAGGAAAUCAGCCCAGUCGGUUCAAACGGGACUUUAAACUCGGUGAAACUCCUUACCUGCCAAAGGAGACUAUCACCCUGCUCGCUAACUGGUACUGAGGAAUCAAUGAUUUGGUCCCCGCAAAAGAGAAGUGGGGACCGAAGCCUCCAUUAUAAACUGUUAUGUUCCUGUAACUAGAAACUUGCCUUCUCCUUUUUGCCUAAAAAUGACAGACACUCCUAUUGUCUUUAAACCACACUCCUCCUUAAAAUGAAGUCCAGUCACUGGACCUUGCCCAGAGACAGGAAGACCAUUGAGAUGCCACUGUGUUUAGGCAGGGACAAAUACACCUUAGGAAUAGUUAACCUCUUGUUCUGCUCUGUAAUGCGCUUUUGCUUGCUUUUGCUUUCACAUUGUAAAACCCUACCCCCUACCCUUCCAAGCCCACGGCUCUUUGUUCUUCUGAUUGCUCUGCUCAGCCGGGAGGAAUGUGAUUUGUGCCUUUAUAAGCGCCCCUCACCUUGCACUCGAGGCUGCGGGGUUUCGAGAGACCUGAAUCCCCCUGUAUGCCACCGGCUUAAUCAGUAAACUUCAGUAAAUCCGGCUGUGUCUGGAAAUCCUCUAAUUUCUCGCUGAGUAGACUGUAACAGGACGAGACGAAACGCAGGCACUUUGUGCUGGAAAAAGACCGUUCUUAUUCCACCGAGAUGAGCAACUGUGAGGGCCCGGCUGCUGUUGGAGAGGGCCAGGCUGUCGGUGAACAAGACGGCCACCAGGCUUCCUUCUUUUGGUGGUGGAAAUUAUU